rnacentral:rRNA from 1 species
GACGAACCGUCCAAACGUUAUUCGGAAUUACUGGGCUUAAAGGGUGCGUAGGCGGCGCAUUAAGUCAGGUGUGGAAUCCCUCGGCUCAACCGAGGAAUUGCGCUUGAUACUGGUGUGCUAGAGGGAGACAGGGGUGAGCGGAACUGAUGGUGGAGCGGUGAAAUGCGUUGAUAUCAUCAGGAACACCGGUGGCGAAAGCGGCUCACUGGGUCUCUUCUGACGCUGAGGCACGAAAGCUAGGGUAGCGAACGGG